rnacentral:rRNA from 1 species
GACGAACGCUGGCGGCGUGCUUAACACAUGCAAGUCGAACGGAAAGGCCCUGCUUUUGUGGGGUGCUCGAGUGGCGAACGGGUGAGUAACACGUGAGUAACCUGCCCUUGACUUUGGGAUAACUUCAGGCAACUGGGGCUAAUACCGGAUAGGAGCUCCUGCUGCAUGGUGGGGGUUGGAAAGUUUCGGCGGUUGGGGAUGGACUCGCGGCUUAUCAGCUUGUUGGUGGGGUAGUGGCUUACCAAGGCUUUGACGGGUAGCCGGCCUGAGAGGGUGACCGGCCACAUUGGGACUGAGAUACGGCCCAGACUCCUACGGGAGGCAGCAGUGGGGAAGAUUGCACAAUGGGCGGAAGCCUGAUGCAGCAACGCCGCGUGCGGGAUGACGUCCUUCGGGUUGUAAACCGCUUUCGCCUGUGACGAGGCGUGAGUGACGGUAAUGGGUAAAGAAGCACCGGCUAACUACGUG